UACGUAGGGUGCAAGCGUUAAUCGGAAUUACUGGGCGUAAAGCGUGCGCAGGCGGUUUUGUAAGUCUGUCGUGAAAUCCCCGGGCUCAACCUGGGAAUUGCGAUGGAGACUGCAUCGCUAGAGUAUGGCAGAGGGGGGUGGAAUUCCACGUGUAGCAGUGAAAUGCGUAGAGAUGUGGAGGAACACCGAUGGCGAAGGCAGCCCCCUGGGCCAAUACUGACGCUCAUGCACGAAAGCGUGGGGAGCAAACAGG
rnacentral:rRNA from 1 species